CAAAUACUCCCUCCGUCCCAAAAUAAGUGACUCAACUUUGUACUAACUUUGCACUAAAGCUAGUACAAAGUUGAGUCACUUAUUUUGGGACGGAGGGAGUACUAG
rnacentral:pre_miRNA from 1 species